GACGAUCGCUGGCGGCGUGCUUAACACAUGCAAGUCGAACGGUAAGGCCCCUUCGGGGGUACACGAGUGGCGAACGGGUGAGUAACACGUGAGCAACCUGCCCUUGACUCUGGAAUAACAGUUGGAAACAGCUGCUAAUACUGGAUAUUCAUCGUCUCCUUCCUGGGGGGUGGUGGAAAGCUCCGGCGGUCAGGGAUGGGCUCGCGGCCUAUCAGCUUGUUGGUGAGGUAAUGGCUCACCAAGGCUUCGACGGGUAGCCGGCCUGAGAGGGCGACCGGCCACACUGGGACUGAGAUACGGCCCAGACUCCUACGGGAGGCAGCAGUGGGGAAUAUUGCACAAUGGGCGCAAGCCUGAUGCAGCAACGCCGCGUGCGGGAUGACGGCCUUCGGGUUGUAAACCGCUUUCAGUAGGGACGAAGGGUGACUGACGGUACCUACAGAAGAAGGACCGGCUAACUACGUG
rnacentral:rRNA from 1 species